CACCUCUAGCAUUACCAGUAUUAGAGGCACUGCCUGCCCAGUGACAUUAGUUAAACGGCCGCGGUAUCCUGACCGUGCAAAGGUAGCAUAAUCAUUUGUUCCUUAAUUAGGGACUUGUAUGAAUGGCCCCACGAGGGUUUAACUGUCUCUUACUUUUAAUCAGUGAAAUUGACCUUCCCGUGAAGAGGCGGGAAUACAAAAAUAAGACGAGAAGACCCUAUGGAGCUUAAAUUAAUAUGUUCAACAGAAUUUAAUUAUAAUCCAAUAGGAAUAAAAAUAUUCUAACUGAACAAUAAAUUUUGGUUGGGGUGACCUCGGAGUAUAACAUAACCUCCGAGCAAUUAAACCAAGACUUACCAGUCAAGGCCAUAUAACUUAUUGAUCCAAUCUUAUUGAUCAACGGAACAAGUUACCCUAGGGAUAACAGCGCAAUCCUAUUUAAGAGUUCAUAUCGACAAUAGGGUUUACGACCUCGAUGUUGGAUCAGGACACCCAAAUGGUGCAGCAGCUAUUAAAGGUUCGUUUGUUCAACG
rnacentral:rRNA from 1 species